UGGGGAAUAUUGCACAAUGGGCGAAAGCCUGAUGCAGCGACGCCGCGUGAGGGAUGGAGGCCUUCGGGUUGUAAACCUCUUUCAGUAAGGGUGAAGGCUCUCUUUUGUGGAGGGUUGACAGUACUUGCAGAAGAAGCGCCGGCUAACUACGUGCCAGCAGCCGCGGUAAUACGUAGGGCGCGAGCGUUGUCCGGAAUUAUUGGGCGUAAAGGGCUUGUAGGUGGCGUGUCGCGUCUGCUGUGAAAUUCCAGGGCUUAACUUUGGGAUUGCAGUGGGUACGGGCAUGCUAGAGUGCAGUAGGGGAGAUUGGAAUUCCUGGUGUAGCGGUGAAAUGCGCAGAUAUCAGGAGGAACACCGGUGGCGAAGGCGGGUCUCUGGGCUGAUACUGACGCUGAGGAGCGAAAGCGUGGGGAGCGAACAGG
rnacentral:rRNA from 1 species